rnacentral:rRNA from 1 species
UGUUCCCUACGGGAGGCAGCAGUGGGGAAUAUUGCACAAUGGGCGCAAGCCUGAUGCAGCGACGCCGCGUGAGGGAAGAAGUAUUUCGGUAUGUAAAGCUCUAUCAGCAGGGAAGAAAAUGACGGUACCUGACUAAGAAGCUCCGGCUAAAUACGUGCCAGCAGCCGCGGUAAUACGUAUGGUGCAAGCGUUAUCCGGAUUUACUGGGUGUAAAGGGAGCGCAGGCGGUUCGGCAAGUCUGAUGUGAAAGCCCGGGGCUCAACCCCGGGGCUGCAUUGGAAACUACCGAACUAG